rnacentral:misc_RNA from 1 species
GAUGAAGAACGCAGCGAAAUGCGAUACGUAAUGUGAAUUGCAGAAUUCAGUGAAUCAUCGAGUCUUUGAACGCACAUUGCGCCCCCUGGUAUUCCGGGGGGCAUGCCUGUCCGAGCGUCAUUGCUGCCCUCAAGCACGGCUUGUGUGUUGGGCCUCCGUCCUCCUCCCGGGGGGCGGGCCCGAAAGGCAGCGGCGGCACCGCGUCCGGUCCUCGAGCGUAUGGGGCUUUGUCACCCGCUCUGUAGGCCCGGCCGGCGCCCGCCGGCGACCCCAAUCAAUCUUUCCAGGUUGACCUCGGAUCAGGUAGGGAUACCCGCUGAACUUAAGCAUAUCAAUAAGCGGAGGA